rnacentral:rRNA from 1 species
UACGUAGGGCGCAAGCGUUGUCCGGAAUUAUUGGGCGUAGAGAGCUCGUAGGCGGCCUGUUGCGUCCGCUGUGAAAUCCCGGGGCUCAACCCCGGGCGUGCAGUGGAUACGGGCUGGCUGGAGGCAGGCAGGGGAGAACGGAAUUCCUGGUGUAGCGGUGAAAUGCGCAGAUAUCAGGAGGAACACCGGUGGCGAAGGCGGUUCUCUGGGCCUGUACUGACGCUGAGGAGCGAAAGCGUGGGGAGCGAACAGG